rnacentral:rRNA from 1 species
UACGAGUGCCCCAAGCGUUAUCCGGAAUCAUUGGGCGUAAAGAGCUCGUAGGCGGCCUGUUGCGUCCGCUGUGAAAGCCCGGGGCUUAACCCCGGGUCUGCAGUGGAUACGGGCAGGCUAGAGGUAGGUAGGGGAGAAUGGAAUUCCCGGUGUAGCGGUGAAAUGCGCAGAUAUCGGGAGGAACACCGGUGGCGAAGGCGGUUCUCUGGGCCUUACCUGACGCUGAGGAGCGAAAGCGUGGGGAGCGAACAGG